rnacentral:rRNA from 1 species
UACGUAGGGAGCAAGCGUUGUUCGGAUUUACUGGGCGUAAAGGGCGCGUAGGCGGCAAUUCAAGUCAUCUGUGAAAUCUCCGGGCUUAACUCGGAACGGUCAGAUGAUACUGCUUUGCUAGAGUGCAGAAGGGGCAAUCGGAAUUCUCGGUGUAGCGGUGAAAUGCGUAGAUAUCGAGAGGAACACCAAAGGUGAAGACGGGUUGCUGGGCUGACACUGACGCUGAGGCGCGAAAGCCAGGGGAGCAAACGGG